UACGUAGGUGGCGAGCGUUGUCCGGAUUUACUGGGCGUAAAGGGAGCGUAGGCGGACUUUUAAGUGAGAUGUGAAAUACCCGGGCUCAACUUGGGUGCUGCAUUUCAAACUGGAAGUCUAGAGUGCAGGAGAGGAGAAUGGAAUUCCUAGUGUAGCGGUGAAAUGCGUAGAGAUUAGGAAGAACACCAGUGGCGAAGGCGAUCCUCUGGACUGUAACUGACGCUGAGGCUCGAAAGCGUGGGGAGCAAACAGGAUUAGAUACCCG
rnacentral:rRNA from 1 species